rnacentral:rRNA from 1 species
UACGUAGGGGGGCAAGCGUUGUCCGGAAUCAUUGGGCGUAAAGGGUGCGUAGGUGGCGCGGUAAGUCGGGUGUGAAAUCUCGGAGCUUAACUCCGAAAUUGCAUUCGAUACUGCCGUGCUUGAGGACUGGAGAGGAGACUGGAAUUCAUGGUGUAGCAGUGAAAUGCGUAGAGAUCAUGAGGAAGACCAGUGGCGAAGGCGGGUCUCUGGACAGUUCCUGACACUGAGGCACGAAGGCCAGGGGAGCAAACGGG